rnacentral:rRNA from 1 species
GAUGAACGCUGGCGGCGUGCCUAAUACAUGCCAGUCGAGCGAACAGACGAUGAGCUUGCUCCUCUGACGUUAGCGGCGGACGGGUGAGUAACACGUGGAUAACCUACCUAUAAGACUGGGAUAACUUCGGGAAACCGGAGCUAAUACCGGAUAAUAUAUUGAACCGCAUGGUUCAAUAGUGAAAGACGGUUUUGCUGUCACUUCUAGAUGGAUCCGCGCCGCAUUAGCUAGUUGGUAAGGUAACGGCUUACCAAGGCAACGAUGCGUAGCCGACCUGAGAGGGGGAUCGGCCACACUGGAGCUGAGACACGGUCCAGACGCCUGCGGGAGGCAGCAGUAGGGAAUCGGCCGCAAUGGGCGAAAGCUUGACGGAGCAACGCCGCGUGAGUGAUGAAGGUCUUCGGAUCGUAAAACUCUGUUAUUAGGGAAGAACAAAUGUGUAAGGAACUAUGCACGUCGUGACGGUACCUAAUCAGAAAGCCACGGCUAACUACGUG